rnacentral:lncRNA from 8 species
UCCAACUUCAAAUAAACCCAAUAGAUCAGUAACUGAACUCAUUUGAUCAUGUCAAUGUGUGUGUUGUUUUGGGUUUUGAGAAUAUGAAAAUAUACAUAUUAAUGUCACUGAUGGAAUGAUAAGGUUUAGAGGGUCUACACCAGAAGUGAAUGGUUAUAGGAGGAAGGUAUAUAGUGUGAGCAAUUAAGCUUGGAAUGUGUUUAGUGCAGGGAAGUAAUUACAUGUGGAAGGCAUUGAUAAGGGGAGAGAGCCAUGGAUUAGUGAUGGAGGGGGGUUGAGGUCAGGUCAGGUCACUUUAGGGAGAAGUAAAAGUAUAUGGCCCGUAUCACUAGUGUCCUGCCUAGCAGUAAAGAACGAUGUUUGUACAGAUAUGGAGAAGGAGACUCAGCCUAUGAGGAACAGUUAAAUAUCAGUGCUUGUGUGAAACUGUUUUUGUCUAAUGCAGCUGUAUUGAUCCUCUGGGAAGAAUAAACAAGGUUAAGCUUUCAUAAUGUCUUUUCAGUUUUUUUACUCUGAGAAUUAGAACCUAACAGUUGUUAGGGUGAUGUUGCUUUUAAGCUUCUGCAUAUUUAGUUUUGGUUUUGUUUAUUUGUGUGUGUAUAGUUUAAAGUAACUCUGAAAAGUCAACAAGUUUAUUUGAUCAAUUAAUCACAUGAGUUCUCAUAUUUGAAAUAGCUGUGCUGUAGUUACCUAUAUUUUCAGGAAGUUUAAUGUAGGGUGGACCACAUGGACAGCUCCUUAGUGGUCAAUGAAAAUAAGGACAUUUUCUUCAGCGUCACUAAUGAUCUGUCACAACAUCAGACGUGAGUCUCCAUAUCCUCCUCUGUAGGUUUUUCUGUGUCCUACCAAGCACACAUCAGUUUUCUCACAUGACAAUCUUUGUGUGGAGUUCACUUCACUGACGGAAGAACGUGGAAAAUAUGUCUUUGUCUUAUAUUCUUCUCAUUUAUGUUGCCGGAGUUGCGGUAAAAGAAAGUUGUGCAGAUUCGGUUCCCACUCCCACUAUUGUAUUUUCCCCUGAUUACAUCAAUGUAGCUACACCUGUUACAGUACGCUGUGAGUCACCAGAAGGCACAGAGUGCAUUUUCUACAGAGAUCACGACCCCAAACCUAUAAGAACAGUGGAUUACAAGCAGGGUGCUUGCCAGUUCAAGUUGUUAUGGAAUGAGUUCAAAAAGUGGAACAAGACUGAAGUAGAUCUCAGCUGUGUAAUUCUACAGAACAGAGAAGAUAAAACGAUCAAAACCUCAAAACCUAGUGAUGCUCGAAGACUUAAUGUGGGUGAUCCAAUUGGAAUGCCCAGUGUUCAUGUGGAGAAGAUCGGGAAUUACCUCAAUCUUCGAUGUGAGUGCAAGGCUGGCACCUCAUGCUACUUUUAUCUGAACAAUGGUGACUCACACUUCAAAAAACUACCCUACAAAGACAAUGUCUGUGUGGGGAGAGUGGCAGAAGAGGAACUGCAGAGGAAGAGGAGCAGUGCUGGAGAGAUCUUCAUCACCUGUGCUGUGGAGCUGUUGGUAGAGGGUGAAGAUACUGUGACAUCACAGCGUAGUGAAUCCCUCGGUAUCACCAUAGAUGUUGUAAAUCCUCCAGGAGCUACUAGUUCCCCAUCAGCGUUCAGUUUAAUCAUAACUGGUCAGGAGGAGACAAGCAGCAAUGUCACAGCCCAAGGAAGAGUUUCUUCAGGUCCAGUGUUCCUCGUCAUCAUCAGUCUGGGUGCUGGUUCCCUUUUCCUGGUUCUGCUAGCUGGGUCUGUGCUGUGUGUUCUCCAACGCAAUUGUGGGGUUCAAUGCAGGCCUGUAAAUACUGGAAGCCCACCUGAGCAGCAAGACCAAACCCCACCUUGUGUCUGUGAGUAUGAGAGUUAACUAAACCACCACUGCCUUUAUCUUCUUUUGUUCAGUGUUUUAUUAUCCAUCAUUCUCUCAUUUUAAACAGAUUCUGUCAUCACAAAGCCGUCUAGGGAUGAGGUGAGUUGGUUUGAACCAGUGCAGUGUGAAGUAGCCUACUAUGCACUUUACUUCUACGAUAUCAAGCAAUAUUGCCAAUAGCACCAAUGACAACCCUACUGUGCACCCAGCUCAAAGUGACUUGAUCUCUCUCUUACAGGAAGAGGACAGUAGUCUGCAAUACGCUACUGUGACAUAUACCAGUGACCGAGCUAGUCUUCAAUAUGCAACAGUGACAUCUACCGGUAACCAAGUUGGACCUGGGCGCAGCAAGAUCAAGUUUGAAAUAGCUGGAGAGUACGCCCUCUUAGCAGAAUCAUAGAAGAAGAAACAUUUACUGGAUAACAUGUUUUGCCAUAGUUUACAGUUACAAUCCUAUCUUUUUUUCUUCAUAUUGGAUCAUAAUUUACUCAUAGCACAAAGAACACUGCCACAACAACAAAGAUAUCUACUAAUUUCUGAAAACAAGCAGCUUCAACUAUUUGCAUUUUAGGUUAAAUGAAAUAAAUGAAAAAUAAACUUUGUAUGAAACAUAGAAGAAAUAUUUUCCUAUAUUGAGUUACCCAAUCUAGUCAGCAGUCACCAAUCAGUAGUCACCAAUCGAUUUCACUCCUUGACAAGAGUCAAUAGAGACUCAAAUCCACAAGAGGGUAGAACACAUGUCAAACUUUGCUUGUUACAUCUCUACAUCUCUCUCUCCCUUUCUGAUCUCUCGCUUUCUACAUCUCUCUCUUUAACCUUGUCUGGUGUAUAUCAGUUUUCAGUGGUGGAAAAUUACUCAACUGUCAUAAAGAUACCUUCAUAGAAAAUGACUCAAGUAAAAGUCACCCAGUAAAAUUCUACUAGAGUAAAACUCUAUAAGUAUUUGGUUUAAAAUUGUCACGACACCGACGGAUGGUGGCGCCCCUCCUCGGCCGGGCGGAGCUCGGCGGUCGUCGUCGCCGGCCUACUAGCUGCCAUCGAUCCUUUUUUGUUUCACUUUCUGUUGGUUAGGUCUAGGUAGGCACGCACCGGUUUUGGGUUAGUUAUUAGUAGGGGGGGUUAUUUAAUUUAGCAUAGGAUGUCUGUGUUUGUGCGUGAUUA